AUUGAACGCUGGCGGCAGGCCUAACACAUGCAAGUCGAGCGGAUGAAGGGAGCUUGCUCCUGGAUUCAGCGGCGGACGGGCGAGUAAUGCCUAGGAAUCUGCCUGGUAGUGGGGGAUAACGUCCGGAAACGGGCGCUAAUACCGCAUACGUCCUGAGGGAGAAAGUGGGGGAUCUUCGGACCUCACGCUAUCAGAUGAGCCUAGGUCGGAUUAGCUAGUUGGUGGGGUAAAGGCCUACCAAGGCGACGAUCCGUAACUGGUCUGAGAGGAUGAUCAGUCACACUGGAACUGAGACACGGUCCAGACUCCUACGGGAGGCAGCAGUGGGGAAUAUUGGACAAUGGGCGAAAGCCUGAUCCGGCCAUGCCGCGUGUGUGAAGAAGGUCUUCGGAUUGUAAAGCACUUUAAGUUGGGAGGAAGGGCAGUAAGUUAAUACCUUGCUGUUUUGACGUUACCAACAGAAUAAGCACCGGCUAACUUCGUG
rnacentral:rRNA from 1 species